rnacentral:rRNA from 1 species
CGAAUCUUCCGCAAUGCGCGAAAGUCUGACGGAGCGACGCCGCGUGGAGGAUGAAGGUCUUCGGAUUGUAAACUCCUGUCACAGAUUCAGAAUGGUCUGUCGUUAAUAGCGCCAGACGUGACGUUAGUUUGAAAGGAAGCACCGGCUACUCGUGUGCCAGCAGCCGCGGUAAUACAGAGGGUGCAAACGUUGUUCGGAAUCACUGGGCAUAAAGCGCACGUAGGCGGUCUGGCAAGUGCGGUGUGAAAGCCCCCGGCCCAACCGGGGAACUGCAUCGCAAACUGCCAGACUAGAGGACGGUAGGGGAGACUAGAACUCCUGGUGGAGCGGUGAAAUGCGUAGAUAUCAGGAGGAAUACCGGUGGCGAAGGCGAGUCUCUGGUCCGUUACUGACGCUCAGGUGCGAAAGCUAGGGGAGCAAAC